rnacentral:tRNA from 1 species
GGGGCUGUAGCUCAGUGGUACAGCGCUUGUCUAACACACAUGAGGUAAUGUGUUCGAUCCUCAGCACCA